GCAUUGUAUUAGUCAGUUGCAUUCAUUCCCUGUGGGACUCUCCCCUUCUACGCUACAAGUUCAACAGGAAACUGACCAUAAUGAAUUGGACUUGAUUUCAUUACAACAGAUGCUAUCAUCCUGAAUGAAGUGUCCUUGAAUCGAACGGGCAACCACGAAUCGUGAUUCGAAUCAGGCGUACACGAAGCUCGCCCCAAAAAAGGCAAUCGCACUUUCGGCAAUGCAGCUGUGUUUGGAAAAGAGAACCCACGCGUCACGCAACAAGACUGAUAUACGUUCCUCCGUGAGCCGUGAUCUAUGACCAUCCGACGCUCCGGCGGCUGCCGCAAUUAAUGCAUCAACAGCCGGGGGAGGCCGUUAGACGCUCCCGAGUCUUGUUGCUACAGCGGACAAAUAUUGGACGUUCAGGACGGGAGCCUGUCGCUGGGAAGGGGAACGUCUGGAGGGCCGCGCUGGGGAUUUCGCACGGCCCAAAUAGCGCCGCGAGGAUCGAUGCCAUCGGAACUUGUGCUCGUUUCGGAUCGUGACGGGAAAUCGUGUAUAGAA